CCCGGAAUUAGGUAAGAUGAGUCAGAGUGCACCACAUCUUUGCAUUCUUGAAUGGGACACCACCUGGAAUGGUGUUCCUGAGAGGAUUUCCCAGGUUCCACUCCAUCUCCAUAGGUUCCAUCUUCAACUCCAUAGGUGCUGAGGCCAGUGAUAGGGCAAUGAUUCUUCAAGGAGGUCAAAUCCCGAAUCCUGCUUUAAAACGUAUGUAUUUAAAUGGAAGUAGUUGUGCGUAUUUUCUUUUUAGCAGAUUAAUAUGGAGAAGGAUUUAUAUCUGAACAAAUGUAAAUGGGAAAAGGGCUCAAAUCAGAGUGAUUCACGGGACAAAGAUAACUGUGACUUUAAAGGUGAAUGGGAACCCUUCAAUACAAAGUAUUUGAAGACGCAACAAAGCAAACUGGACUCCUUGGCUGGCUUUGAAUAAACAUUCACAAACUUUUUAUUGAUAAUAAUCGGCUAAAUAGUUUGAGGAUCUAUACAACUGUGUAUCAUGCAGAAAACAGCAUUCUUAGAGAAAUCAAAGACUGGAACUGAGGGAAGCUGGGGGAUGGGGGUGGGUGGGUUUUGUGUGGGAGGGUGGGGGGAGGGAGGAAGGAAGGAAAAAUGGGGAAAAAUAAGGAUGGUAUGUUUCUGGAUAAUAUGUUUUGUUUUAAUUUUGAAUAUAUAUCUAUUUUUUUUAAAGCAGAGUGAUUCAUCCAGACUCUUAAUAACCACAAGUUAUAUGGAACCUCAGAAGCAGAAUGCCUCUGAAUACCAACAGGAGGACGGUUAGCUCUGUCCCCUGCUUUUUUGCGGGGGAGGGAAUCGUUUUUAUUCCAUUUUACAAAGUUAUAACAGUACCAAAUACAUAUCCGUAUAGAGAUUUAUCUGAUUCUUGAGACUUCCCACCAAUAAGACUCCAUGGGUCUUAUUG